rnacentral:lncRNA from 1 species
AUGUCUCUCCUCUCUCAUAGUCUCAAAUGUAAUUCCCUUAAAGUCCAUUGGGCUUUAAGUUCUCUAUUCUCAAAUAGUUAUAAGGAAGAAGGAAGAUCAAGAGAAGGAAUAAUCAAGUCAAGAUUUUUGGACAAACUACAGUAAACCCCUUAAACGAUAGGGUCAUUUUCAAGUUCAUACCUAAUUUUAGAGACAUUUACUAAUACAUACUCAAACUCCCGGAAACCCUACAAAUUACCCCCCUCCGUUAGCCAAAUCGUUAGUUGAUCUGUUAAAUACUUAUGUGGCAUUUGUGGGACCUAUUUUUUAAUUGACGUGGACACCACAUAAGAAAUAAAAUUAAUAAAAUAAAUGAAAAACAAUAAAAUAAAAUAAAAAAGAAUAAAAAACUAAAAAACCGAAAGAAAAAAAAAAACUCAUCUUCUCGCCCCACCCUCUUCCCUAGAGAAAAAAGAAGUAAAGAUAGCCCCACCCCCCUCCACCACUCUCUCUGAUAUCCCCCCUCCCUUCCAGCCCAACCUCCAACCCACCCUCCCCAUAUCAUCAUCCUUCACGAAAAAACUGGUGCCACCCUCGUCGAUCGAUUCUCACCACACCCAGAUGCCGACGCCGUCGCGAACCCAACCCUCACAAAUCUGCCAUACAUCUCUGAUGACGAGCAUAUUCCCUCCUCAGAUCUAUUGGCUAGGGCUUUGGUAUUGGUUGGGGAUAGGAGGAGAAGACUGAGGGAGAAUGAGGUGGUGGGUGGUGGUUUGGUUGGCUAGGGUGGUUGUUUGGGUUGCUAGGGUGCUGAUUUGAAGUUGAUCAUAGUGUAAUAAUAUUUUAUAAUAAAUUACCCAAAUAUUUUGAAAUGCUUGAAUUGCUAGUGUUAGUAAACAUAGUUAUAAUUCCAAUUUUCUUUCCAAGAACUUAAAUAAUAAUCUGCAGUGUUAGAACAUUUUCUAACUUGAGUUUGGAAUUAAACCAAACAAAAUUGCAAUUGAGGCCAGGGUCGUCUUCUUCAUCGUCGUAAGCUUCUUAUCCAAAACCUAACUGCAAUCCCAAGCACACCAUCUUCCACACAGAUAAUUGAUAUUUGUUCCUCUUUCAAACCCUUCUCCUAUUAUUCCCUGCACACCCCAAACCUUCAAUUUCUGCAACAGUGACGAUAACUCUUGUCUCCCUCAUUUUCAGAUUCAAAUUCAAAAAAUUUAUUCUCAGGUCCCUCAAACCUAUUCGUCCUUGCGAGCCUUAGGCUGUAUUAUGAAGCACUUUUUCAAGUUGAAGGUAUGCCAGUUUCUCCACCAACAUCAUCUCUGGGGAAGAGGGUAGGGCUGCGUUGAAAAUGAGGUUUUUUUUUUGUCUUUUGUUUUUUAGUUUUUUAUUCUUUUUUAUUUUAUUUUAUGUUAUUUUAUUUUAUUUUAUUUAUUUUAUUUCUUAUGUGGAGUCCACGACAAUUAAAAAAUAGAUCCCACAAAUGUCACAUCAGUAUUUAAUAGAUUAACUAACGGUUUGGCCAACGGAGGGGGUAAUUUGUAGGGUUUCCGGGAGUUUGAUUAUGUACUUGUAAAUGUCUCUAAAAUUGGGUAUGAACUUGAAAAUGACCCUAUAGUUUAGGGGGUUUACUGUAGUUUGUCCUUACUUGUAUUAUUCACGAGUCCAACACCCAAUAACAACCAUUAAUGUUUUAAGUAGUUAAGACACAUAAUAAAAUCAAUCUCUUUCCAAAGGCCUUAGAUCCGACAUCUUGGCUAGAUGUUAGAUCGAAAUCAAGUCCAUAAUCAUCCAUAAGCUUAUAGACGACUAUUUAUCUAAACUUAAGGAAAUGCAAAGGCUUUCCGUUAGUGGUAGUGCAUAUUCCCAAAUCUCAAAUAAAAGAGUUUUAUGAAAUUGAUUUGAUUUGCAAAACAA